CGCGUAGGCGGUUUCGGAAGUCAUGGGUGAAAGUCCUCGGCUCAACCGAGGGAUUGCCUGUGAAACCACGGGACUGGAGUGCUGGAGAGGGAAGCGGAAUUCCCAGUGUAGCGGUGAAAUGCGUAGAUAUUGGGAGGAACAUCUGUGGUGAAGGCGGCUUCCUGGACAGACACUGACGCUGAGGCGCGAAAGCCAGGGGAGCGAACG
rnacentral:rRNA from 1 species